GAAACAGAAUGCUGCAUGGUCACUAUUAGAGGCAAUUACUAUACGGUAUGUUGUUAAAUUUUUGUACAAAAUCACUCGGAAAAAAUUGAGCUAUAAAACUAUCUAUUAAGUCAAAGGUUGGUUGCCUUAACAGCUGCAGUGGCUCGAACACAGAGAGCUGCUAGUCUGUCCUCCGUACCCUGCUCGCCAGCCUGUUGAGCGGGGAAACCAUCCAACUGCAGACAGGGUUUGCAUGGUGGACUUAAGAGCCUCCCCGACUUCAAUGACUGCUUGAUGGUCGGUCGAGAGCUCAUCCUCUGCAGUACGGAUAAGCUCAACAUUGUCCAGGAGGUUGCACACUUGUUUGAUGAGGUCA